CCUACGGGAGGCAGCAGUGAGGAAUAUUGGUCAAUGGGCGGAAGCCUGAACCAGCCAAGUAGCGUGCAGGAUGACUGCCCUACGGGUUGUAAACUGCUUUUAUACGGGAAUAACGCGCCUUACGUGUAGGGCUUUGCAUGUACCGUAUGAAUAAGGACCGGCUAAUUCCGUGCCAGCAGCCGCGGUAAUACGGAAGGUCCGGGCGUUAUCCGGAUUUAUUGGGUUUAAAGGGAGCGUAGGCGGGAUGUCAAGCGUGCUGUGAAAGGUCCGGGCUCAACCCGGGCAUUGCAGUGGGAACUGGCGGGCUUGAGUCCGCGGAAAGCAGGCGGAAUUCGUGGUGUAGCGGUGAAAUGCUUAGAUAUGACGAAGAACCCCGAUUGCGAAGGCAGCUUGCUGAAGUGGAACUGACGCUGAUGCUCGAAAGUGCGGGUAUCGAACAGGAUUAGAUACCCUAGUAGUC
rnacentral:rRNA from 1 species